rnacentral:lncRNA from 1 species
GUGACUUGGGUACCGACAGCUUCUUUUCAAGAAUUGCAGAAAUUGCAGCACUCAGCUUCUUGUUCACAUCGGGGUUAAGGCCACCAAUGGACACCAACUCACCAUAAGCUGCCGGAUCCUCAGUUCCACCAAAAGACAUAGGUACUGAUCCCUUCAACACAAUCAUCACGUACUGCAUAUCGACCAACAAACAUGAAAUAGUCAGAUAAUGACUAAUGAAACAACGGCAACACUGAGUGAAAAACAUAAACAGAACUACAGACAAUUCCUCUUUAGCUUAACAAUAGAACUACAGAUUCACCAAGUGAUGGUUAAGACUUACAAGCAGCCGACCUACAUAUAGGUUCAUAAAAUCCAUAAAGCAUUCUCUGCACUAACAUAUCCUCUUAAUUUGCUCACAUUAUCAUCAUCUUGUAAGUUACACGUUGCUUCCUCUAAUAGCCAUUAAGUAUAGACACGCCUCAAUUUACAAACCUGAAAAGCUAUUAAUCACUUAGAAUAUGUUCGUAACUAUUAAAAGCACAGCAACCAAAGUUAACGAUUGAACAAUCCUAAUCACUU